UUUGAGCCCACUUUGUAAAUCUGAAGAGAUUUAAUUUCUUCCAAAUUGUAUUCUACCCAGGUUGGUCUUUUUGGCAAUAGAUUUGUCCAAGUGCCUUGGAAGAGGCCGCGCGACAGGGUGAGAGCCCCGUUGGACAAAUUCAAUUCUGUCAGAUGCACAGACUACCUUGUUCCAGUCGGGUUGUUUGGGAAUGCAGCCCUAAUGUGUCGGUGGUAAAUCCCAUCGAAGGCUAAAUACUGGCGGGAGACCGAUAGCGAACAAGUACCGUGAGGGAAAGAUGAAAAGAACUUUGAAAAGAGAGUCAAAAGUGCUUGAAAUUGUUGAGAGGGAAGCGAUUGUCUGAGUUGGUUUGGGGGUGGGGUGAUCUGGUUUGGCAGAGAGUUUUCUGUGCCUCCUCAGCUAUCCCGGCUCCCGGUCAGCAUCGGUUUCUGGAGGGGUAGAAACGCCAGGUUUUGGUUUGGAUUGAAUUUGUUUUUUCAGCUUCAGUCCAACGCCUGGCUCAUGCCUGUCUUUUUGAGACCGAGGAAUAUCUUGCACGGUGCCCCAGAAGAACUUCUUGUUCUUCCGCAC
rnacentral:rRNA from 1 species